rnacentral:rRNA from 1 species
GACGAACCACACUAACGUUAUUCGGAAUCACUGGGCUUAAAGGGUGCGUAGGCUGCGCAGCAAGUUGGGUGUGAAAUCCCUCGGCUCAACCGAGGAACUGCGCCCAAAACUGCUGUGCUCGAGGGAGACAGAGGUGAGCGGAACUUAGGGUGGAGCGGUGAAAUGCGUUGAUAUCCUAAGGAACACCCGUGGCGAAAGCGGCUCACUGGGUCUCUUCUGACGCUGAGGCACGAAAGCUAGGGUAGCGAACGGG